CGCUCAGCCACGCUCCCACUGCCACGGCCACCAUCAGAAGCACGGCGCGGCCGCUCAUCUCGCCUGCGACACACCGGAUCGACACCUCGCUGCAAUGAGUAAAUGACUCAGAAUAGAUGAAAAUAUACAGGGUGUAACAAAAAUAUACGUCACAACCUGCAGGACACAAACCGGCUGGUGUGGCCGAUCGGUUCUAGGCGCGUCAGUCUAGAACCACGUGACCGCUACGGUCGCAGGUUCGAAUCCCGCCUCGGGCAUGGAUGUGAGUGAUGUCCUUAGGAAGACGAUUCGUUUGGAGGCCCAGAUUUGAUGAAGAUCCUGAUUUUGUGGGGAAAAUAUACCUAUACUACAAAGGAAUUUGAAGAGAACUCUGGAAGAAAUACUGGAAGUAGACACUGUGAUUCCAAACAGACCAGAACCUCUAACCAGCAAACUGAGAUGUUCGCUAUGUUCAAGAAAAAGUGACAGAAGAGCAAAAAUCUGUUGCCAGAAUUGUAGAGGGCGAUCUGUGAGGAACAUAGAGCACUAAUUUGUGCAGAGUGUGCUCACUGGCAAUACAAAUAGUGACUGAUAUUAGUUACAGAUUUCUAUUUCAUUCUGAAGUAGGGCUUACAUUAGCUUAAUCUUUUUUAUGCAUUUUUCAACAAAUAUACUAUAAUAGUAACUAAUUUUGUAAACACCCUAUGCCGAAACAGCCUGUAAAAAUCAGAUAUUUCAUCAUAUUAUAUUACUUUGUACAUUCAAGUUCAGACUCACGUUGAAUAGAUACACGUAAUAAAACGAACAUAAAAACUAAUUUUCAGUGUGAUGUUGAAGCGUGAUAAGUACCAAAUUUGUAAACAUCCUUGUUAGUCUUUGUAAUAACUCAGUUAAGUCAAGUAAGGCAUUCUAUUGCAUUACACACAUUCAAAUACAGACAUUAAAAAGUACAAAACAUUAUUUAUAAAUAAUACUAUGCACAUAUUGUUAAGAUACUGCGCCACUCAUUGUCGUAAUAACAAAAAACU